rnacentral:rRNA from 1 species
CCCUUAGAUGUCCUGGACCGCACGCGCGCUACACUGAAGGAAUCAGCGCGUCUUUCUCCUUGUCCGAAAGGACUGGGUAACCCGCUGAACCUCCUUCGUGCUAGGGAUUGGGGCUUGUAAUUCUUCCCCAUGAACGAGGAAUUCCCAGUAAGCGCGAGUCAUAAGCCCGCGUUGAUUACGUCCCUGCCCUUUGUACACACCGCCCGUCGCUACUACCGAUUGGAUGGUUUAGUGAGAUCCUCGGAUUGGUCCCGGCGCGGCCUCUGGUCGUGCCGGAGUGCCGAAAAGAAUGUCGAACUUGAUCAUCUAGAGGAAGUAAAAGUCGUAACA